rnacentral:rRNA from 1 species
AACCUCAUAUACGUCAGGUCAAAGUGCAGCUUAUGAAAGGGCGACGAUGGGUUACACCCUAGAUAAAGAUACAGAAUAUGAUACUAAAAGUCAUAUAAAGGUGGACUUGGACGUAACAAAGAUGCUAAAUCAAAAUGAAGCCGAAUCUGAGACAUGUACACAUCGCCCGUCACUCUUGCCCAAAGGUGAGAUAAGUCGUAACAAAGUAGGUGUAACGGAAGUUGCACCUGU